UACAGAGGGUGCAAGCGUUAAUCGGAUUUACUGGGCGUAAAGCGUGCGUAGGUGGUUCAUUAAGUCGGUUGUGAAAUCCCUGGGCUUAACCUGGGAACUGCAGUCGAUACUGGUGAACUAGAGUGCGGUAGAGGGUGGCGGAACUCCGGGUGUAGCGGUGAAAUGCGUAGAUAUCCGGAAGAACACCGAUGGCGAAGGCAACCACCUGGGCCUGCACUGACGCUCAUGCACGAAAGCGUGGGGAGCAAACAGG
rnacentral:rRNA from 1 species